ACUGGGCAUGGUGGUACGUGCCUGUAGUCCCAGCUACUCACUCAGGAGGCUGAGGCUGGAGGAUCGCUUGAGCCCAGGAGUUCUGGGCUGUAGUGUGCUAUACUGAUCGGGUGUCCGCACUAUGUUCAGCAUCAAUAUGGUGACCUGAGGUGAUCGGGGGACCACCAGGUUGCCUAAGGAGGGGUGAACCAGUCCAAGUUGGAAAUGGAGGAGGUCAAAACUCCUGUGCCGAUCAGUAGUGGGAUUGUGCCUGUGAAUAGCCACUGCACUCCAGCCUGGGCAAUGUGGAGGUGGCCCU
rnacentral:SRP_RNA from 1 species